rnacentral:rRNA from 1 species
AUUGAACGCUGGCGGCAGGCCUAACACAUGCAAGUCGAGCAGAUGAAGGGAGCUUGCUCCUGGAUUCAGCGGCGGACGGGUGAGUAAUGCCUAGGGAUCUGCCUGGUCGUGGGGGAUAACGUCCGGAAACGGGCGCUAAUACCGCAUACGUCCUGAGGGAGAAAGUGGGGGAUCUUCGGACCUCACGCUAUCAGAUGAGCCUAGGUCGGAUUAGCUAGUUGGUGGGGUAAAGGCCUACCAAGGCGACGAUCCGUAACUGGUCUGAGAGGAUGAUCAGUCACACUGGAACUGAGACACGGUCCAGACUCCUACGGGAGGCAGCAGUGGGGAAUAUUGGACAAUGGGCGAAAGCCUGAUCCAGCCAUGCCGCGUGUGUGAAGAAGGUCUUCGGAUUGUAAAGCACUUUAAGUUGGGAGGAAGGGAAGUAAGUUAAUACCUUGCUGUUUUGACGUUACCAACAGAAUAAGCACCGGCUAACUUCGUG